UACGUAGGGUGCGAGCGUUAAUCGGAAUGACUGGGCGUAAAGGGUGCGUAGACGGUUUGCUAAGACGGAUGUGAAAUCCCUGGGCUCAACCUAGGAACAGCAUACGUGACUGGCAGGCUAGAGUAUCGAAGAGGGGGGUAGAAUUCCACGUGUAGCAGUGAAAUGCGUAGAGAUGUGGAGGAAUACCGAUGGCGAAGGCAGCCCCCUGGUCAGAUACUGACGCUGAGGCACGAAAGCGUGGGGAGCAAACAGG
rnacentral:rRNA from 1 species